rnacentral:lncRNA from 1 species
UAGGAUAAGGAUGAGAGAAAGUUAUAGAGUUAGAUAUUUGUAAAGAAAAGUGUGCAAGUUGCCACAUGGCAACCCCACAAGGAUCAUGAGCACCUAUAAAUAGAGGUGUUCCCCUCACUCCUACCCAUACCAUAGCAUAAGAGGUCUAGGAGAUUGCAAGGUAGCCAUGUGGUGUAGUGGUGUUAUGAUAGGAUAGCCACACAAAGAGUGUGCAAGCGAGUCUUGUAUCAAAUUGAGUAGUGAAUAAAGGUUUGAGUUUCCUUGUAGACAGUUGGUCUCCCGCAUUGGUGUCGGUGUGAAGGUCUCCUUAAAGUAGUAUGGGCAUAAGAUCUACAAAAGAAGUGAUGUCACGAACACUAGCAAUGUUUCAGUUACAAUGUCAUGAACACUAGCAAGGUCACGAGUCACCUCGUUAGCACUACGGCUUACAUGAACAAAAGCAAUAGAAAUAUAAUAGCUCACUAAUGAUUCGGUGUCAGCGACAAUAGAGCCCAUAAUGGAUCUUUCUCUAACAAUAAACACUGUUUGUUUGAUUUACAUUUCCUUUGUCGUCAUUUCUAAGAUCAACUACAUGCAGUACAUACUAAUGUUUCCUUUCAGAACAAAAGAAAGGAAAAUACUAUUACAGCAAAGAUCAAAGGAAAAGGAAGGUAGUAAAUUAACAUUUUUCAUUCAAUAGACAGGCGCAUUGAUCGAUGAUAGUAAAUUACCAUGAUAUGACGAGCAAAGCAGCUUCCUUGAUUUGUAGGUCCUGCAAAGCUUACGUAGAUGAGAAAUAUUACUUAGUUAAGCGAUUCAAACAAGAACCCAAGAACAAACUCACGAAACCUUGUUUGUAGCGCAUGCACAAAAUGAUGGGACUCUGGUUGUUGGUCGCUAUGUAUAGUUUCUGCCUCGACGUGAGUUUUAACAGCAGGUCACUGGUAGAUACGAAUUGACUACAUGCAUGUUUAGGUGUCCGUUCAUCAAUGUUGGGCGUAUGAUCUUUAAACUUUUGUGCUAGGUGAGUUGUGGUUGGGGGAAGUUAGGUACGGAGUAGGAGUGUGAACACGUCGAGCAUCAUCAUCAUAUUGCGACUUCAAAAUACCGGUGCACUCAAAACUGUUCAAUGCUACAGAUUUAAGUUCUUUUUGUGUAACUGGUGGUAGCCAAUGGUUGAUGUUCGAAACAUUGACGUCACUUGAAAUGAGAUAUAUACAGUAUACUCCUGCGAUCCCCAGUAAAGCUUGACUUUUCAUUCGUUUUCUUUACUUCUGGAUUUGAAUCCCCUUUCAAGUGGUAGGGUGGGAGAUGGGACCCACUUGCCAGCCAACGAAAAGUAGAGCUCAAAUCAUGCAAUGCAGCCCAACACUGCAAAGAUAGGUGGAGCGGUGGCGACGUCCUUGCCGGCUCGUCAUCCUUGACCCCCUCCCUCCUCUCCUUCC